UUCUGAUGUCUAAAUCGAUUUUCAUGUCACCAAGUCAUUUUGAGAUUAUCGAAGACACUUAUUGAUUAGAAUUAUUACGAGAAGCUUAGUUAUAACAAGAAUAUUCAUAUACAUACUUUUCUAACAUGUUCAUCAGAAAAUCUAGUAGUCAACAAAUUUUGGUUUCUUGUUGUGAAAGAUGAACAAAAAAUUGUAAGGUAUACAUGGAAAAAACUAGUUGUAGUUGAACAAAAAAUUGCAAGGUAUACAUGAUACAAGCGACCUUCAAUGAUUACAAAAGAAAACAAAUUUAAGAAUUAAACUAUAUGCUUUGUGCAAAUUUACACCAUCUCAUAUAACUAUAUAUUCUAUCUAUGUUCAUGAUGCAAGAAAAUAUAAAACAUAUAUCAUAUCUUAUGUACGUCUAGAUUACAAUAUAUGAAUUACCUAGACAUGAAAAUUUCCACAACUUUUUUCUACAUUUAUCUUCAAAUUAUGGCCAGAAUUAAGCUAUUCAAAACACCUAAUAAUUAUCACCAGGCAUCAUGUAUUUUUAACCGUGGAUUUGAUUGGAUGUAUUUUGUUUGUAUUUGUUGUGCACGAAACAUUGAAUAUUGUUCAUCAAAUCGUCCUUAUCCUCAAGCAGCGUAUAUAUACAUUUGUUGUCAGAGUUUCCGUUGGCUUAUAGUACUGUCGUAUUCAACUGCAUAUGCUAAGAUAUCACAUGCCACUAGGUUGGAGAUAAUACUUCUAUGAUGUAUUAUAUGUCAAUAUAUAUCCCAAUAAUAGCUUCGUUAAACUUGAGAUGAGCUUCUAUUCAUCGUCCCAAAAAUACUUAAAAUCGUCCAAAAAAAAAGUUGAAAUUACAUCUCUAGUCUUUUCCUUCCUUUUCCCUAAACCACCACCACCUACGUAUACGAAAUUCUACUACAGAGUAAGCUUAUGGUUCUUUUGUGCUUUCCAUCAGUAAUGAUUAGCUAUGUGAUCCCCCCUUCUCGCAUAUAGGCUGAAUCAAAAUAUAGAUGAUGAACAACUGUAAUUUUCCUUCUUUUACCUAUAUACUUCAUGUUGCAGUGAAUUAUCACAGAAUCUGACAUAUUCUCAUCCUAACAAGAAAAUGCACUCGCAAUUGGUAGAUUUAAGUGGCACAUACGAUACACCAAUUGGCUAUGAAAAAUUUCGAGAACCUACGGACACACACUACACAGUGAUGAUAAUGAACCAGAACCCAAAGUUGUAAGGAGGGAAGACUGCCAACGAAGAAUUCAAUUCAAAGAGACCAACAGGCAACAGGUAGACCUCCACUAGAGAGGGCUACCUCUGACUUUCCUGAACAACUGCUGGUGGAACUACAAAUCCAUCUACAACAGUAACAACUUUUACUUCUGUGUGUUUUAUCAGUGAUGAAGAAAGUUUUGUUGCGUUUAUACAGCUCAAAAUAGUAACAGCAACUACAACAGUAACAACGUUUACUUCUACUAUCUAGAAUUCUGAAAGUGAUAUAAGGUCUACAACUUGUGUUACCUUCCUUUUUCAUGUUACCUUAUAGAUCAUUAUUCAAGUAA